UAGGGAAUCUUCGGCAAUGGACGAAAGUCUGACCGAGCAACGCCGCGUGAGUGAAGAAGGUUUUCGGAUCGUAAAACUCUGUUGUUAGAGAAGAACAAGGACGUUAGUAACUGAACGUCCCCUGACGGUAUCUAACCAGAAAGCCACGGCUAACUCCGUGCCAGCAGCCGCGGUAAUACGGAGGGUGCAAGCGUUAAUCGGAAUUACUGGGCGUAAAGCGCACGCAGGCGGUCUGUCAAGUCGGAUGUGAAAUCCCCGGGCUUAACCUGGGAACUGCAUUCGAAACUGGCAGGCUAGAGUCUUGUAGAGGGGGGUAGAAUUCCAGGUGUAGCGGUGAAAUGCGUAGAGAUCUGGAGGAAUACCGGUGGCGAAGGCGGCCCCCUGGACAAAGACUGACGCUCAGGUGCGAAAGCGUGGGGAGCAAACAGG
rnacentral:rRNA from 1 species